GUCCUUCACCUAGAUAGCUAAGCGAGUUGAAGGAUUAGUUGCAGUGUUGACCAAACAGAAUUAGUCGCCACAUUUGUCAUGCAACACAUCCCCGCCAAUGCAAGUAUUUGAAAAUAGCCCUCAACCUAUCAAUAGAUCUCCAGUUCAAGACGUACAAUAUGAUAGUGUAAAGAUUUUAGAGUGGUCUGACCUGCAAAAGCUUAUGUCAUAUGAUAAAGGGAAGCCCAAGUUUUACGCAGGCAAACCUUCAGGAUUGAAGUCAUAUAUACAAAAUAACCAGGUACUUGUGAAAUCUUUUAAUCUAGCUCUUUCUCAAGUAGUUAUUUCAGCCAGCCAUAAGCUGAAUGUGAUGUCUAAGAGUGAAUCGGUGUCUAGUAUGGAAAUAAAAAUAGGGCUACAACCGAGGCAGCUAUCAACACUUGGAGGAAUUUAAAGGCCCUAUUUGGGGUAAAUAUUAGUACGAAUGCUGGGGGGCAGGCUGCUCUAUCACA
rnacentral:lncRNA from 1 species